CAGAGCAGGAGGCAAAUUAGUAACACAAGUCCCUCCUCCGCCGCCGACAUCGUAAGCCAUCGCCGACAUGGUUGUCUGAAAUUCUGUGUUUUUCUCUGCUAAAAUUUCGGUUUGAAAAAAAAGAACAGCUGCGUUUGCUUGUGAUUUCUGUUUGCCCUCUGAAAAACGUUCGAUCUUGGGUGUUGGUGUUCCCCUCAAGCUGCCUAGUAAGCAAGCUCAGGCAAAACAAACCAACCGCCGGUGAAAAGAAAAAUCGGAUCCUGAGUCUUCAAACCGAGAGAAGUGAAA
rnacentral:lncRNA from 1 species